rnacentral:misc_RNA from 1 species
UUUCAUCAUCAUCCCCUUGUGUAAUAUAUCGCAAUUUCUGGAUAAUCGCACCAAAACUCCAGCUCAGAUCGCUAACAAGGUCCCUGUAUUCUGUCUUUAAUUUCAUGGCAACUGCUUCUUUGCUCGAAUCGAGCCCAUUGAAAUGGCGGCAGAGCCUCCCUAUCCAGUUAUCCCCGCCUCGUCCUCUUCCGUCUAUUCCUUAUCCCCUCCCUCUCAGACCUACUGAAUGCGGCGAUAACUUGACAAUUAAAGGGCUGAGCUUUGCUAAAUUCAGCGUUGAAUGCUCUUUCAUGGAUAAACUUUUAACGAAAUCGGAUAAUAAUGACCCAAGUUCAAGUUCGAGUUCGAAUUCCAAUCCCAAAUCCCCUGCUAGAUCUGUAACAAUCAACCCCUUUAAGAUCAUUUACAAUAUGAUCAUAAAAUCUCUUGAAGCGCUUAAAAAACCUGCAAUUGCAACUAUUUUAGUGGGGCUUUUAUUGAUGUACAACCCUAAUUGUGCAUUUGCUGCCUCCGGUGGGAGAAUGGGUGGGAGGUCUUUUUCCCAGUCAUCUUCAUUAUCGUCUAGAAGCUAUUCAGUUCCUCAUACGUCCAGUUCAGGGUUUUCAUACUCGGUGCCGUACUACGCGCCAUCGCCGUUGGGUGGUGGUGGUGGCGGC